CGUACACUCCGCGGGAGGCAGCAGUGGGGAAUAUUGGACAAUGGGCGCAAGCCUGAUCCAGCCAUGCCGCGUGAGUGAUGAAGGCCCUAGGGUUGUAAAGCUCUUUCACCGGUGAAGAUAAUGACGGUAACCGGAGAAGAAGCCCCGGCUAACUUCGUGCCAGCAGCCGCGGUAAUACGAAGGGGGCUAGCGUUGUUCGGAUUUACUGGGCGUAAAGCGCACGUAGGCGGACUAUUAAGUCAGGGGUGAAAUCCCGGGGCUCAACCCCGGAACUGCCUUUGAUACUGGUAGUCUUGAGUUCGAGAGAGGUGAGUGGAAUUCCGAGUGUAGAGGUGAAAUUCGUAGAUAUUCGGAGGAACACCAGUGGCGAAGGCGGCUCACUGGCUCGAUACUGACGCUGAGGUGCGAAAGCGUGGGGAGCAAACAGGAUUAGAAACCCUGGUAGUCCCAUG
rnacentral:rRNA from 1 species